rnacentral:rRNA from 1 species
UUGCGCUCCGUGAUGACUCUGGAUAACUUCACUGAUCGCAGUCGGCCUUGCGCCGGCGACGGAUCUUUCAAAUGUCUGCCCUAUCAAUUUUCGAUGGUAGGUGACCUGCCUACCAUGGUUCUAACGGGUAACGGGGAAUCGGGGUUCGAUUCCGGAGAGGGAGCCUGAGAAACGGCUACCACUUCCAAGGAAGGCAGCAGGCACGCAAAUUACCCAAUCCCGGCACGGGGAGGUAGUGACGAAAAAUACGAAUACGGGACUCAAUUGAGGCUCCGUAAUUCGAAUGAGUACAAUUUAAAUCCUUUAACGAGGAUCAACUGGAGGGCAAGUCUGGUGCCAGCAGCCGCGGUAACUCCAGCUCCAGAAGCGUAUAUUAAAGUUGUUGCAGUUAAAAAGCUCGUAGUUGGAUCUGGGUCGCAUGGCUACAUGCCGUCGCUCGUGAACCUGUCCUGGUUACUGCUGGGGCAGGCUUGCGAGUCGGUCUAGUGGUUGUGCUUCCUUUCUGCUGUGUCUGUUUACAGGUGUCAGCGUGAUUGGUGGAUUUUCCCGCCGGUCCGUUGGCAUGCUUCUUGAUGCCUUUAAACGGG